UUAUCAUAGCUGAUAUCUUCUGGCCUUUUUUCAUUGACUCCCAUUGUCCCUAGGACUGCUUUUUCUUCUUUUCGGUUCUGAUUUUCUGGGGGUGGGGACAGACUUUAGGGUCUGACUUCCUCGUGCAGGCCUUUCCUGGCACUAGGCCUGGAAUCUGUUGACACUAUUCCUGUCUUCAUUCUGUCUGUGUGUUUCUCCUAUUUGUUGUUCUUAAGAACCCAGGGCACAGAUGCACGAUUGAGAGCAGAUGACCCUCAAAAUCAGGAUGGGAUGUGGGCUGGUUAGGCUGAUUCCUACACACCUUUGGGGAUCUGAGGGGACUGAGUCUUCUCAUCCCCAAAGAUUUCAGAACCAAAAGUCUCACGUAAGCAAACUUCCCACUGGCAUUUCUGAGACCCAGAACACACCCAAGCCCCUCCUGGCUGGCCUGCUGCAGUGUCCAGUGCCCUGCUCCCUGCAACAUCAAUUGCAUCCGAAGGUCAGAGCAUUUUCUGGUUCUUGAGGACAUCGGAGAACAUGCUGGGCUUUAGAUCUCAUCAACUUUUUAUCAGUUCUUCUCAACCCAUUGCCAGCAGCCUCAACAGCAAACAGUGGCCAGACAGGCUUGCAGCCAAACCCCAAGAAGACAUCUCCCCAGAAUCUGCCAUCUCAUCUCCCCUUCCCUUUCCAGCUGCUGGCUCCAGAGAGCCAGGGAUUGGUGGCAAAGUCAGAUUCCACUCAACUAAUUAUCUGGACUGUCCUGAUAAUUAAUUCCACCAGGUGGCUUCCAGCAUUGGGUUGGCAGAGGACCGCUCAUGAAGCAGGAUCUUCAGCAAAAAAGUGAUUUUUUUCCAUCCAUCAACUCAUGCAGGAAGAAGAAGAAAGCUCAGAUUGUCUCCAGUUUGCAAUCAUUUAGAUUUUUAUAUACCCACCACCCCACCACUUCUACCACCUCACUGUCAGCUUCAGGGCUCUCACCUCCACCCAAAUAGAAAUCUGAGCCCAAUCAGGACCCCCAGAUGGCAGCGAAUGAUUCCCUUUAGAAUAGGGAACAACCCCAAGAGGAAAUGAAUCCAAGUAGGAAUCUAUUCUUUUGGACCAAGACCCUAGUCAAAAUUUUCCCACCCCCUCCCCAAAUUCCUGGUAGCCUGAUUUGAACCAAAGCCAAACAAAACAGAUGAGAUUGUUAAAACUUCUUCACAAGAACAAAGUUGUUUUUUCCAUUAAUGUGCUAGGUCUGAUGCCUGGAUAAGCAAACACCCUUGCUUAUGGCUGUUUUCAUGAGGGAAGAAGUUGCAUAGUUUGGGUAUCCAUUCACUAUCUGGAUUUUGUCUUAACCUGGAAUUUCUUGGGAGUGCCCCAAAAUUCCAACUUGAAUAAAUGGAUUUGGAAGGGGCUCUGUUAAUGGAGCAGCCCCUCAUCUUCACCUCUAACUCUAACUCUCCAUUCCUCCCUGCAAAGAUUCUGAAGAGAUCUAAAGGCUGGCCAGGAUGGGUGGAGUGGGGCAGUUCGCCUGGACAAGAAAUUACCUGACUGCAGGAUGGCUGCAUGUGGGUCAUUGAAAUGUUCUCUUGCAUGAGAAGGACAGAGUGGUUGAUUUCAGCUCAAAGUCUAGUAGGUGGGGCUGCCUAACCAUGGAACUCAAGUGCCAUGUUGGGUAAUGACCUUUGUGGCAACACGGUGUUUAAAGAGAGGCUAGAUGGUAUACAAAAUGCAUAUUGCAGAGGGACCCUAGCAUUGCACAGCAACUGGACUAAACAACCAGGGAAAUUCUCUUUCUCCCUCUCUCUCUGUGUUUCCUGGUGUGGUGUGUGUGUGUGUGUGGGGGGGGGGGUUGAUGGUUGGUGGUUUGAACAUCCGGGAACAGACUCAAGCCACCAAGGCAAAGGCAAGGAGCACUGUUAACAGGAACUCAGAAAUGUUAGAAUUUGGAGCUCUCAGAGGGAGUUCUAGGUGGCACAGGAUACCCUGUUCCCCACGCUCCGUAUCUUGGACAAUUUCAAUGACCCUCUUGAUCACCAUCCAACCCAUCCCCAGUGCCCUAGCAGGAACCACCCAGGGUGGGAUAAUACUUAUGGUACCAUCCCCCAGGCCAACCAAAAAGCAACCUCAUCCCUGGCUGGCUGCCUCGAGGUACUUCAGCCCUUCUGCCCAGACUAUGCCCUCAGAGACCUGAGGAUUUCGGUACAAAAGACACAAUUAUCUUUUACCCACUAGCCACCUGUCUAAUGAACAAACAGCCCAGGCAACGGCAAAUGGCACUAUUCCAAAAGGGCUUUUUUUCCCCCCCUGGCAAAUAAAACAGGAAAUCCCAUUCAAAUCCUUUAGGGUUUUUUGUUUUUUGUUUUCUUUUUCAUUGACUUUAUUGGGGUGACACACUUAAUAAAAUCAUAUAGGUUUUAGGUGUAUAAUUCUAUAAUACAUCAUCUGCAUAUUUUAUUGUGUGUUCACCACCCCCAGUCAAGUCUAUUCAAAGCUUUUGAAAGUCCCCACCUAAUGAAGUUAAAUCCAGAAGGGCCAAAACAGGCACCUAUACCCCAGUUUUACAGCAAAACAAGGCUUCUGCUGCCUCCAGGCAAAAGGCCAUCUCCCACAUCUGUAGCCCCUUCCCAAUGUCUGGAUUCUGCAUUCCUCAAGGAGAGCAUUGGACAAAGAGGCUUGCAAGUCCCCCUUAAUUUAUAUUUGGUGAGUCUGGAGGAGGUGGAGCUUCAUCCUCUGGUGACCCCCAGUGCAGGCAGCCUCAGGUUGUUUUGUCACCAGAUUAGGCAGGAUAUGCUUGAACGGAUAGACCGAGCAGCUGCUAAUUUCUAAGAUCCCCCUCUGAGGCUCUGUCCCGAGGAAUAACUCAAGUCAAUGUCUGCAAUGACAUUACAGUCCUGAAGAAAGGAGGGAAACUCCCAAUUCUGUCCCAUUAGGAUGCUCUCAAGAGUUAUGCAUGCAUCUCCCCACCCUACUUGCCUCCCUGAGCUGAUCCAGGUUUGGAAAACCAGGCAGGAAGCACAGGAGAAGCUGCUCAAGAGAUUUGGACCUCUCCUGGUCUUCACUAGGGCGUUGGGCUCUCUCUCUUAGAUGACCUUGACCUCUGAGCUUGGUGUGCCUGCUAGGUGGGGAAGAGGAACAUCAGCAGCUGCUCAGCUGGCAGCUGGCCUUUUGCUCCCCAGACCUAUCCUGGCUUUAAGCCAAGGUCAAGAUCUGGGAACACCAUUUUCUGCACCAGGAACUCAGGGUAAUCCCCCAAGGUAUGCCCUUGGCACAUAGUGGUCACUCAACCUGUGUGUUUGAGUGAGUAAAUGUGUAAAUGAUUAACUUCUGAGUGAAUGAAUGAUGAGCGAAUGUGUGAGUGAAAAGAGGAGCUUGUUAGUUCUUACCUGGCUGGAGGUAGUACUAACUGGGAAGGAAGGAGAAAUGGGAGGCCCCUCCCAUUAAAACCUGUAACAGCCCCACCAACAGCAUCUGUUCUUUGACUCAAUUGGGGACCAAGAUGAUGUCCAAAUUGGACACUUGUCUGGCCUAAGGACCUUGGCCUUUUCGUUUGGGGCAGCCCCACACUCCUUUCUUACUCUCCUACUCUGCAUUUUCAACCCCAUGCUCUAAUUCAGCUCACACAUAGCCCAUAGGUUUUCCAAUGGCAAAGCCAAGGGUCCAGGACUUGCUAGGGGCAGGAAUGUGGGAGCUGACAUCUGGAAACUGGAUUGCAUUCCCUGAGCCAUGGAGUCCAGCUGGAAGAGAAGGCCAGCUUUUCCUCCAGCUUUUAGAGCCAAGGGAUUUCCUUUGUUCUGAGCCCCAGUGCCCCCAUGGCAGCAUGUGCCCAAUCCCAUUCGCUAAGACCCUCUGUCUCUCCCAGAAACCAUGUGAAGUUGAGGUUUUUAUGCCAGCAAAGCCAUUCUGAUCGCCCCACCCAUGAUGGGGGACAAGCCAAUCACAUUAGCCAUAAAUGACCAAUGUCCUUAGAUGCUCUUUUCUGGGGUUGUGUUCUUGGGUCCUGUUCAUCUCUGAUCAGUUGACGUCUCUAGUCCUUCCUGUAAAAGUGAAAUGAGCAUUACACACACACACACACACACACACACACACACACACACACACUCAUGAGGAAACCAAACAACAAACAAUCCAGUUUCUUUUUAUGCAUGUGAUGAGACGAAAUUGUGACCUUCACCUGCUGUCCUGUCUUGUAAAAUAUGUCCAAAUGUUUAAGAAUUUCUAAGCAAAUGGUCCCUUAAUGAAGUCUGCAGAGUUCAAUAAAGAGGUAUGGAGAAAACAA